GCUUCGGCGGGCCCGCCUUAACUGGCCGCCGGGGGGCUUACGCCCCCGGGCCCGCGCCCGCCGAAGACACCCUCGAACUCUGUCUGAAGAUUGAAGUCUGAGUGAAAAUAUAAAUUAUUUAAAACUUUCACAACGGAUCUCUUGGUUCCGGCAUCGAUGAAGAACGCAGCGAAAUGCGAUACGUAAUGUGAAUUGCAAAUUCAGUGAAUCAUCGAGUCUUUGAACGCACAUUGCGCCCCCUGGUAUUCCGGGGGGCAUGCCUGUCCGAGCGUCAUUGCUGCCCUCAAGCCCGGCUUGUGUGUUGGGCCCCGUCCCCCGAUCUCCGGGGGACGGGCCCGAAAGGCAGCGGCGGCACCGCGUCCGGUCCUCGAGCGUAUGGGGCUUUGUCACCCGCUCUGUAGGCCCGGCCGGCGCUUGCCGAUCAACCCAAAUUUUUAUCCAGGUUGACCUCGGAUCAGGUAGGGAUACCCGCUGAACUUAAGCAUAUCAAUAAGCGGAGGAAAA
rnacentral:rRNA from 1 species